rnacentral:snoRNA from 1 species
UGCCUCCCGGUGCUUACCAUGGGCUGUGUUCUUACACUGACUGUGUUAGAAGCAGGAGGCAGAGCAAACCUACCCCAUAUACACCUCAGCCCAGGCCCUGUGACUGGUGUGUAUUGUGAAUGGGGAGACGUGG